UGGAGCUGGUCACGCUCGUGCAGCAAAAUUUUUAGUGCUGGUGGUUCCCAUCACGUCCGUGUCCAUAGGAGUUGUUUGUAUGGCCAUUGUGUUGGCAACAAGAGAUUACUUCCCAUACCUUUUCACCACCAGCGUGAACUUGCUACUGAAACUACGAAACUUGCAUUGUUGCUGGCAAUUACGGUUCUUUUAAACAGCCUUCAACCGGUCUUAUCUGGGGUUGCUGUUGGAGCUGGAUGGCAGUCUCUUGUUGCAUACAUCAACAUUGGGUGUUAUUAUAUCAUUGGAUUGCCUGCUGGAAUAAUCUUGGGAUUCACAUUUGAUUUUGGCGCCAUGGUUUCACAUUGAUUACAAUCUGGCUCUCUUUAUGGAUUUUGAAUUCCUUUGGCAUUUUGAUAUGUGUAUGCAAUUAGCGUUGUGUAAUAUUGGAUUCGGAUAUUAGCAUUUUGAUAUAUGUUGGAAUUAUUAUUUUAGAUUUUGGAUGAUUGGAAUAUUUUAAUAUCUAAAUUUUAAA